GAGCUCGUGGCUCAGUGGGUAGAGCUUUGGACUUCUAUCCAACGGGUCACGAGUUCG
rnacentral:tRNA from 1 species